rnacentral:rRNA from 1 species
GAUGAACGCUGGCGGCGUGCUUAACACAUGCAAGUCGAACGAUGAAGCUCAGCUUGCUGGGUGGAUUAGUGGCGAACGGGUGAGUAACACGUGAGUAACCUGCCCUUAACUCUGGGAUAAGACUGGGAAACUAGGUCUAAUACCGGAUAGGAGCGCCUACCGCAUGGUGGGUGUGGGAGAGAUUUAUCGGUUUUGGAUGGACUCGCGGCCUAUCAGCUUGUUGGUGAGGUAAUGGCUCACCAAGGCGACGACGGGUAGCCGGCCUGAGAGGGUGACCGGCCACACUGGGACUGAGACACGGCCCAGACUCCUACGGGAGGCAGCAGUGGGGAAUAUUGCACAAUGGGCGAAAGCCUGAUGCAGCGACGCCGCGUGAGGGAUGACGGCCUUCGGGUUGUAAACCUCUUUCGGUAGGGAAGAAGCGAAAGUGACGGUAACUGCAGAAGAAGCACCGGCUAACUACGUG